rnacentral:rRNA from 1 species
GACGAACGCUGGCGGCGUGCCUAAUACAUGCAAGUAGAACGCUGAAGGAGGAGCUUGCUUCUCUGGAUGAGUUGCGAACGGGUGAGUAACGCGUAGGUAACCUGCCUGGUAGCGGGGGAUAACUAUUGGAAACGAUAGCUAAUACCGCAUAAUAGCAGUUAUUGCAUGAUAACUGUUUGAAAGGUGCAAUUGCACCACUACCAGAUGGACCUGCGUUGUAUUAGCUAGUUGGUGGGGUAACGGCUCACCAAGGCGACGAUACAUAGCCGACCUGAGAGGGUGAUCGGCCACACUGGGACGGAGACACGGCCCAGACUCCUACGGGAGGCAGCAGUAGGGAAUCUUCGGCAAUGGACGGAAGUCUGACCGAGCAACGCCGCGUGAGUGAAGAAGGUUUUCGGAUCGUAAAGCUCUGUUGUAAGAGAAGAACGAGUGUGAGAGUGGAAAGUUCACUCUGUGACGGUAUCUUACCAGAAAGGGACGGCUAACUACGUG